GACAGAGGGGGCAAGCGUCGCUCGGAAUCACUGGGCGUAAAGGGCGCGUAGGCGGGAUGGCAAGUCAGUCGUGAAAUCUCUCGGCUCAACCGAGAAACGUCGGCUGAUACUGCCGUUCUUGAGGGAUGCAGAGGAGACUGGAAUUCCCGGUGUAGCGGUGAAAUGUGUAGAGAUCGGGAGGAACACCGGUGGCGAAGGCGGGUCUCUGGGCAUCUCCUGACGCUGAGGCGCGAAAGCGUGGGGAGCAAACGGG
rnacentral:rRNA from 1 species